rnacentral:rRNA from 1 species
UACGUAGGGCGCAAGCGUUGUCCGGAAUUAUUGGGCGUAAAGAGCUCGUAGGCGGUUUGUCGCGUCUGUCGUGAAAGCUUGGGGCUUAACCCCAAGUCUGCGGUGGAUACGGGCAGACUAGAGGCAGGUAGGGGAGAACGGAAUUCCCGGUGUAGCGGUGAAAUGCGCAGAUAUCGGGAGGAACACCGGUGGCGAAGGCGGGUCUCUGGGCCGAUAUCGACGCUGAGGAGCGAAAGCGUGGGGAGCGAACAGG